CCAGAGAACUUAGCAGAGAUGCUUUGGUGCCUUCGGGAACUCUGAGACAGGUGCUGCAUGGCUGUCGUCAGCUCGUGUUGUGAAAUNUGGUUAAGUCCGCAACGAGCGCAACCCCUAUCCUUUGUUGCCAGCGAUUCGGUCGGGAACUCAAAGGAGACUGCCGGUGAUAAACCGGAGGAAGGUGGGGAUGACGUCAAGUCAUCAUGGCCCUUACGAGUAGGGCUACACACGUGCUACAAUGGCGCAUACAAAGAGAAGCGACCUCGCGAGAGCAAGCGGACCUCAUAAAGUGCGUCGUAGUCCGGAUUGGAGUCUGCAACUCGACUCCAUGAAGUCGGAAUCGCUAGUAAUCGUAGAUCAGAAUGCUACGGUGAAUACGUUCCCGGGCCUUGUACACACCGCCCGUCACACCAUGGGAGUGGGUUGCAAAAGAAGUAGAUAGCUUAACCUUCGGGAGGGCGUUUACCACUUUGUGAUUCAUGACUGGGGUGAAGUCGUAACAAGGUAGGCGUAGCGAG
rnacentral:rRNA from 1 species